rnacentral:rRNA from 1 species
AGCAGUAGCCGCGGUAAUACGUAGGGUGCAAGCGUUAAUCGGAAUUACUGGGCGUAAGGCGUGCGCAGGCGGUUUGUUAAGACAGAUGUGAAAUCCCCGGGCUUAACCUGGGAACUGCAUUUGUGACUGGCAAGCUAGAGUAUGGCAGAGGGGGGUGGAAUUCCGCGUGUAACAGUGAAAUGCGUAGAUAUGCGGAGGAACACCGAUGGCGAAGGCAGCCCCCUGGGCCAAUACUGACGCUCAUGCACGAAAGCGUGGGGAGCAAACAGGAUUAGAUACCCGAGUAGUCCCUGUCUCUUAUAC